rnacentral:rRNA from 1 species
UGCACGCUGGCGGCGUGCCUAAUACAUGCAAGUCGAGCGAACAGACGAGGAGCUUGCUCCUCUGACGUUAGCGGCGGACGGGUGAGUAACACGUGGAUAACCUACCUAUAAGACUGGGAUAACUUCGGGAAACCGGAGCUAAUACCGGAUAAUAUAUUGAACCGCAUGGUUCAAUAGUGAAAGACGGUUUUGCUGUCACUUAUAGAUGGAUCCGCGCCGCAUUAGCUAGUUGGUAAGGUAACGGCUUACCAAGGCAACGAUGCGUAGCCGACCUGAGAGGGUGAUCGGCCACACUGGAACUGAGACACGGUCCAGACUCCUACGGGAGGCAGCAGUAGGGAAUCUUCCGCAAAGGGCGAAAGCCUGACGGAGCAACGCCGCGUGAGUGAUGAAGGUCUUCGGAUCGUAAAACUCUGUUAUUAGGGAAGAACAAAUGUGUAAGUAACUAUGCACGUCUUGACGGUACCUAAUCAGAAAGCCACGGCUAACUACGUG